CCUACGGGAGGCAGCAGUAGGGAAUCUUCCGCAAUGGACGAAAGUCUGACGGAGCAACGCCGCGUGAGUGAAGAAGGUUUUCGGAUCGUAAAACUCUGUUGUCAGAGAAGAACAAGUCGGAGAGUAACUGCUCCGGCCUUGACGGUAUCUGACCAGAAAGCCACGGCUAACUACGUGCCAGCAGCCGCGGUAAU
rnacentral:rRNA from 1 species